GCUGCUGCUUUUCAAGAGAAUGUUGGACGACAAGGAAAUUAUCCUCAUGGUAUCGAUAUAGUGAAUACAGCUGAUUACUUUGCACUUUCUUCACGUACAAACUCCUAUCUUCACGUUGCCGUCUGCAUUGCUCAAUAUGAUGGCUAUCUUUAUACUUUUGUUGAUCAGCUUCUGAACAACAAAAUCUGUCACUGGGAUAAGAGUUUGAGAGAGCUUGCUGCAAAUGCCCUUUCUUCUCUUGCUAAGUAUGAUCUUGGACAUUUUUCUAGUACCGUUGUGGGGAAAUUAUUGCCUUGCACAUUGUCUUCUGA
rnacentral:misc_RNA from 1 species